rnacentral:lncRNA from 1 species
GGUGGAGGCGAUCCUGAUUCACUCUACUGUUUCGACAAAGGAAAGUCGCCCGGAGGGCUUGCAUCUGAAUCCCACAAACGCGCCAUGCUUUAUAUCAAAUUAAUCAAAAAGAUUAACUCGUCUUUGUUGACCCCACACCUGGGAAAUUGUGGUGGGAGCUGGCUUAUUGGAGCAGCGCUGUCCAUUUACAGACGGUUCACAGGCAAGGCUUUGGAGGUUGAAACUACUUUGGAAGACAGUGGCUGACCUUCCUGCACACAUGAUGGAUGACUGGGGCACCUGCAGAGAGGAAUUGAAGUUGAUUGGGAACCUUUUCUCAGAGCAUUGGAGCGGAUUCUCAACUACCUAGGAGGCUCCAGACAGCAGGCCACUGAUUUGAUCUGAACCACAAAAAGGCAAAGUUUAUUUUGUGCGUGUACCCUAGAAUUCAUCACCACUGCUGCUGGUACUAAGUUAUGCUCACUCCAAGAGCCUCUCUGGGUGGGCCCAUGUAGGUGCAGGUCACAUCCACUUAUGGCUCAUGUUCAUGUUCUUGUCACUUUUAACUAAAUCUUAAGUGUGAACCUGCCACAUUCACCAAUGUCCCUCUUGUCACAUGCUCUGUAACAUAAAGACUAAAUUACAGGCCCUUAAAAAAAGGAGAGCCUGUGGCCUACCACCCUGCACAAUAGUGUAGCUCAGGAAUGGAGAACUUGCCUAACUUCCACAGGGUCCUGGGUUUGAUCUCCAGCACAGAAAGUGGGGGAAAAAAGUAAAGAACAGGCUUUGGGCAACUAAAUGCUUUCCCUCUUCAUAUCCUUUUUCCUCUACUACUCCUAUCAUUCAUUUAUUUCCUUAAUUAAUUUUCUGCUGUUUGCAGUGUCCAGCUCAGAACUGGUACCAGGGACAUAGUGAUUGUGUUAGUCAGCUUUUUUUUUUUUUUACUGUAACAAAUUACCUGAGGUAAUCAACUUAAAGAGAGAGAAGGUUUAUUUGCACUUAGGGUUUCAGAGAUGAUGAAUCAGCCCAGUUGCUUUUGGCCUGUGAUGAGGCAGCACAACAUGGCAAGAGGACUUCAUAGAGCUCAGCUUCUUACCUCAUGGCCAGGAAGUGAAGGAAAGGAAAAGGAAGGUUACUGGAGCCCCACAGCCAUUUUGAGUGCACAGCCCCAGCGACCUGCAGACUUCCCACUGGGCCCCACCUCUCCAAGGUUCCUCAUUUCCCAGUAUUGCCAGGCUAGAGACAAAACCUUUGAGGGGCACCAGAUCCAAACUACAGCAGAGAUGGACAGAACCCGAAAUUCUGUCCUCAAAAGGCUCAUCAUCUACUGGGGUUGAGGGAGGUUCAGAGCACCCAGGCACAACAAGUGUAAAACCUGCUCUCAGAGAGCAGAAUGACCCCACCCCCCAGCGGGAGGGAGAAGGCUCCCAAGGCCCGACCUUCAACUGCAGAAAGCAAAUAGGCAGAGCCCAGCUGGCGAGGAGCCUGGCUGUGGCACCAGGCAUGGAGACUAUGAGCUGAACGGACAUUGCUCACAGUUGAAAUGGCUCAAGAUGGUGUGGUAUGUGUUUGAGUGUGUGCUGCAGGGUUAGAUACUCGGGAUUUCUAACUCUUCAGACAGCACCCAGCCCUUGCAGGCCUCAUGCAGGGGUGGGGAUGUGUGUGUGAGGUCACGUGUGGGCAGGAGGGCAGCCAGAGGAUAUGGAGGAGGAUGGCAGGCCUGGCUGUGAGUAUCAGCUGGGCUGAGGCUGCAGGAAUGAGGAGAGAGACAGGAAACUGGACUGGGAAGUUGGGAACAGCUCAAGUUCAUGAUGGAUCACUGUGAGACUCUGUGCAGCCUGCCCUGAGCAGUGGCACCUAGAAGAAGAGGCAGAAGCACCCCAAGAGGAUGUAUUUCUUUGAGCUGUAAAGCGGAAAGCUUUCUUUCUUCUACCGUGAUGUUUCUGCCUUGGAGCCAGCCUACUGAAACCUCUGAAGCCAUGAGCCCAAAUAAACCUGCCCUCCUUUAAGUUGCAAGUGUCAGAUAUUUUGUUCAUAGCAACAAAAACCUGGCAAAUUCACCCUGAAAACAUCAAGAGAGAGAUGCUCUGGGGAAAAGAUGCUGCUGAUACUCUUGGCCCUUAGUGGCCUCAAUCCUGCAGCCUGGUCCCCACCACAACUUCACCAAAGCAAAUGGGUAUCCCAGGAGCUGACCCCAGGAGCUUGGGGGCUGAGGAACUCUAAGAGAUGCUUUGACCUCCCAGGAGUCAGAACAGGCUGAAAGAGGCAUCUACCUAUCUUAUCUAUUGACAUCAAGUGUUCUUGAAGGCACAUUUGUUGGUGGCACAAGAAAUUCAGCAGAAAUGAGCCUUGUUUAAAUUUCAAGGUACUUCAAUAUGACAGCCAAAGACAAUACUCAGGAGCAACAAGCAACAGGAGAGGGAAUUACAUCAAGAAGCCAGGAAGGUUCUGAUGCCGAGCACUUCCCAAGGAUGAGCCUCAAAGCAACGAUGUUUGCAAUGCCUGGCAGGUUCAUUAAAUAAAAGAUUGAUAUUCACCUUAAUCUUUGAAUUUGCUUAUGGGGUUCUCUGCUUGCUUCAGUGCACACAUUCUAAGAAACUCUGACAUAUUUUUCAUUAGAAGAAUUUCUAGUAGCCUUCUCUUCUGAAUCCAACUGUAGAAGGUUGACUACAAAGGGGAUUCAUCAAGGGAAGAACUUGACAAUGAGGAAGCCUCCUCAAG